rnacentral:lncRNA from 1 species
CAGCUCCUUUCCUCUCUGGGAUCAAUCUCCUCCCUGGAUCCCAGCUCCUUUCCUCUCUGGGAUCCAUCUCCUCCCUGGAUCCCACCCGUUUUCCUCUCUGGGAUCCAUCUCCGCCCUGGAUCCCAGCUCCUUUUCUCCUUGGGAUCCAUUUCCUCUCCUCCCUGGAUCCCAGCUUCUCUUCCUCUCUGGGACCCAUCUCCUCCCUGGAUCCCACCUCCUUUCCUCUCUGGGAUCCAUCUCUUCUCCUCCCUGGAUCCCAGCUUCUUUUCUCCCUGGGAUUCACACCCUCUUGUCCCUCUUGUCUUCUGAAUCUCAGCUCCUCUUCCUCUCUGGGAUCCAUCUCCUCUCCUCCUGGAUCCCAGCUCCUCUUCCUCUCUGGGAUCCAUUUCCUCCCUGGAUCCCAGCUCCUUUUCUCUCUGGGAUCCAUCUCCUCUUCUCCCUGGAUUCCAGCUCCUUUUCUUCUUGGGAUUCACACCCUCUUGUCCCUGUAUUUCUUGAAUCCUAGCUGCUCUUCCUCCUGGGAUCCAUCUCCUCCCUGGAUCCCAGCUCCUCUUCCUCUCUGGGAACCAUUUCCUCUCCUCCCAGGAUCCCAGCUUCUCUUCCUCUGGGAUCCAUCUCCUCCCUGGAUCCCAGGUUCUCUUCCUCUGGGAUCCAUCUCCUCUCCUCCCUGGAUCCCACCCAUCUCCUCCCUGGAUCUCAGCUCCUUUUCUCCUUGGGAUUCAGUCCCUCUUAUCCCUGUAUCUUCUGAAUCCCGGCUCCUCUUCCUCACUGGGAUUCAUCUCCUCCCUGAAUCCCAGCUCCUCUUCCUUUUGGGGAUCCAUUUCCUCUCCUCCCUGGGUCCCAGCUCCUUUUCUCCCUGGGAUUCACACCCUCUUGUCCCUGUAUUUCUUGAAUCCUACCCCCUUUCCUCUCUGUGAUCCAUUUCCUCUCCUCCCUGGAUCCCACCCCCUUUGCUGUCUGGGAUCCAUCUCCUCCCUAGAUCCCAACCCCUUUCCUCCCUGGAUGCCAGCCCCUUUCCUCUCUGGGAUGCCAACCCCUCUCCUCCCUGGAUGCCAGCCCCUCUCCCCCCAUGUGAUCCCAAUUAAUACCAAGCCAGCUGCUUCUCUGAUGGGGGCACGCCAACGCUGGGCACGGUGGCAUCUCCAAACCCUUCCCGCUGUGUCCUCCCCUCCCAUCCCCCU